AGUGAACGCUGGCGGUAGGCCUAACACAUGCAAGUCGAACGGCAGCACAGUAAGAGCUUGCUCUUACGGGUGGCGAGUGGCGGACGGGUGAGGGAUACAUCGGAAUCUACUUUUUCGUGGGGGAUAACGUAGGGAAACUUACGCUAAUACCGCAUACGACCUACGGGUGAAAGCAGGGGAUCUUCGGACCUUGCGCGAUUGAAUGAGCCGAUGUCGGAUUAGCUAGUUGGCGGGGUAAAGGCCCACCAAGGCGACGAUCCGUAGCUGGUCUGAGAGGAUGAUCAGCCACACUGGAACUGAGACACGGUCCAGACUCCUACGGGAGGCAGCAGUGGGGAAUAUUGGACAAUGGGCGCAAGCCUGAUCCAGCUAUACCGCGUGGGUGAAGAAGGCCUUCGGGUUGUAAAGCCCUUUUGUUGGGAAAGAAAAGCAGCAGGUUAAUACCCCGCUGUUCUGACGGUACCCAAAGAAUAAGCACCGGCUAACUUCGUG
rnacentral:rRNA from 1 species